AACGGCCGCGGUAUACUGACCGUGCAAAGGUAGCAUAAUCAUUAGUCUUUUAAAAGAGGGCUGGAAUGAAGGGUUUGACGAAGUGUUAGCUGUCUCAUUUUAUUUGGUUUUUAGAAUUUAACUUUUUAGUCAAAAGGCUAAAAUUUAAUUGGAAGACGAGAAGACCCUAUAGAGCUUUAUAUUUAUUUUUUUGAUAAUUUUAUAUAAUUUAUUAUUAUAGGAAUAUAAUAUUUUGUUGGGGUGACAAAAAUAUAUAAUAAACUUUUUUAUUUAUAUAACAUUGAUAUAUGAUUAUUAGAUCCAUUAUUAUUGAUUGUUAGAUUAAGUUACCUUAGGGAUAACAGCGUAAUCCUCCCCCAGAGUUCAUAUUUACGGGUAGGGCUUGCGACCUCGAUGUUGGAUUAAGAUAAUACUUAGGUGUAGCCGCUUAAGGUAUAGGUCUGUUCGAC
rnacentral:rRNA from 1 species